rnacentral:lncRNA from 1 species
UUGUGCAAUGUAUAGGAAUUAUGAAUACACAAGUUUAUAAAUUAAAACGUUUUUAUAAUACACGUUAUAGGAUUGUCAUUCUAGUGUAUGAAAAUGACUGCUGAUGCCACAAUUCUUAUUCUGGUAGUUCAUGGGGAAAUUUGAGAUGUGACCUCUUUAUACGCAUUUAUUCGUUUCCAUACACCAGAAUAAGAAUCAUGUAUACGACUACUAAUAUCGUAUCGUGUGGAUAGCAUAGAGAUUAUAAAUAACACUAGAGGGGGCAUCGCAAUCUUAAUUCAGUCAAAGAAAGGGAACGCGGCUAUUGGGGGGCAAAAAAUUAAAAUGCUAAAAUAAGAGUGAGUUUGAGCCAAAAUCUCUAAAUUCUUGUUUAUGGCAGUUAAGUAGUCGCGUUUUGAUUUUUACCAAGCAUUUUUACCUCAAUUUUGUCUAUAACACAUUUUUGAGAGCGCUCCAAAAUAAUGCUGAUGUCAGCAAUUUUGAUCUUUGCAAGAGGAAUUAAUUGUUUGAAUUCAAAAUUUGGGGGGAAUAUUUGUAGUAAUG